rnacentral:rRNA from 1 species
AUGGAGGUCAGUGAGCAUUUCAAUUUCGCGCUGUUGACUGCGAUCUUGUGUGUCAACUACCUUCAUAGGUUCCUCUCCGUCUACCCCCUUCGUUCGCUUAUUUCGGUCUUGCUUCAAGGAUGGAGGGGACCUAUGUGCCACUCCCCAUGGACCUGCAGGUCGGUUAGUGAGCGUUUCAAUUUUGCGCCAUUGACUGAGAUCUUGUCUGUCAACUACCUUCAUAGGUUCCUAUCCAUCUAUCCUCUUCAUCUCUUGGCAGUCGCUUACUUCUAUCUCGCUUCAAAGAUGGAGGAGACCUAUGUGCCAUGCCCUGUGGACCUGCAGGGGCGAGUGUUAAGAUGCUACGAUGGGGCCAUGGAGGUCAGUGAGCAUUUCAAUUUCGAGUCGUUGACUGCGAUCUUGUCUGUCAACUACCUUCAUAGGUUCCUCUGCGUCUAUCCCCUUCAUGCAAUGUCUGCGUUUGAGGCUAGGACAAUAAAAAUGAUGGAGCUUUUGGUGCUUAGCACCUCGAAAUGGAGGAUGCAAGCUGUUACUGCUUGCUCGUUUAUUGGCUACUUCCUUUGCAAAUUCAAUGAUCAUGACACACCCUCCAUGCUCGCAUUCUCCCAUCGAACCUCGUCCUGA